rnacentral:lncRNA from 10 species
UAUCUUUUCAUAUUUUCAGUACUUUUAAAUUUCCCAGCAACAUUUUGGAGACCUUAGUGUAAAGGUUUUACAUAUGUUUUGAUAAUUUUAUUACCAAGUUUAUUAUUACUAACAAAAACUAUGUUUUUACAAUUAUGUGUUAGAAUUUUAAAAUUACAUUUCUUGUAAAAAUAUAAUUGGUUUAUCUAGUCAUUAUCUGCACAGAAAGGCAGUUUUACUUUUCCCUUGAAAUCAUCACACUGGUUUUUUUACUAUUAUUCCAGUUUUACAGAUAUGGAAACUGAGGCACAGAAAUCUUUGAAAACAUGCCAAUGGCCACAGCUAGCAAGCGCUGAAGAUAGGAUCCAAACCCAUGCAGAGUGCUCGUAACUGCCCCUUUUCCACCCAGAGUCUCAUACAUCUUCCUU